UGUGUCGUUUGUUUUCUCUUAUUUUUGAGUGUAAAUUCACAUUGCGAUAAGAUGUGUCACGGUACUUGUCUAUCCCAAAUUCAUGUAUUUGGUUUUGAUGUUAUAUUUGUUAUUCUCGUGGGAUUUUGUCUGUUGCUUGGUCCGUUUCUGUGUGUGUUACAUUGUAGUGUUGUGUCGUUGUUCUCCUCUUAUAUUUAAUGCGUUUCCCUCAUUUUUAGUUUGUUACCCCGAUUUUGUUUUUUGUCCAUGGAUUUAUGAGUUUGAACAUCGGUAUACUACUGUUGCCUUUAUUUGGCCUUAUCGCCUGCUGGCGUUUUCAACUUUGUAGGUAUACAUUCUGGAGGAUAUUCUGAGAAAAUGCUAUCCAGAUUAAGG
rnacentral:lncRNA from 1 species